GGUGCUCGCGUCUCCAACGUUUCAGAGAUAGGUUCUUCGAUGGAUCUCGCCCUCGUCUCACCACCGAUGAGAACUCACCUAAAACAACAAUAAAUAAAUCAUUAGUAUGAUCUAAAUAAAAGAAUCAAAUUUUAUUAUAUAUAAAGUGUAAUAAUUAAUACCAUUGAGAUCUGCCUCACUGGGAUCCGCUUCACUGAGACUCGGCUCACUGGGACCUACCGGUGCAGGAUCCUCUGACAGUGGAGCCGGUGUGACAAUAGAGAUCGGUGGAAGUGCCUCAACCUCUGAG
rnacentral:lncRNA from 1 species